CGUCAGUCACCAACAAUAGUUCUUUUCAGAACUACACUCCUGGGUUCAAACCAUUCACUAAAAUACUCUGUCAAGUCUAAAUUGCUUUGGCAAGGAAAUAACAUUCGCCGAAGACUCCGUGAGUUAGCCAGGCCGCUGGAAACAAAAGAGGCUGAAAUACAGCUUGUUGGCAUCGAUAUACAGCACCUAGAAGCAGCUGUGGAAGACGGAACCGAUGGUGAGAACAAUAAUAUCUUUUACCAGUCACUUCGUUGAUUCUUUUGUAUCGUUUGACUGUUUUAAAUAAAACUUUUGAAAAUGCUAAUUGCGUCGUUCUUUGUAGCAAACAACAUCCUAUUUACAUGUGAUGGAACCUCGUGGCGGUACGUGCUACAUGCUCGGCUAACCAAACUCGAAUUUGCACUUGCUGUCACAAAAAAUGAAUCACUCUUUUAAGCUUUAUUUUGCAAAAUUAAAGCUCUCACAAAAUGUCCCAGAACACCCGAGCUAUUCCCAUUCUUACGUGCUCGAAGUUCUUUUUCUAGAGUUGAAAUUCCUUUUCUAGACAAAAACGGCCUCGGGUUUUUUUCAGCGCGAUUUGGAAUUUAGGAUCGAAAAGGAAUUUUGCAGCUGGAUUUUUCUUUUUUCCCCACAGUUCGUUAGAAUACACAGUUUCUUCUUAGUCUGGUCAACAAAAUAGCACUUUUCGUCUUUUUUCGAGGAAAAAUCGGGCCCGCAACGCGGUAGAAACAAAAGAUGUUUUCUGAAGCGAAAAACGAGACAGCUGAUCAAAAGUCACGGCUGCAGGAAAGAGAGGGGGAUUUCCCUCAUUGACGUCACUGAAGUGGGGUUAAAAACAUCUUACUGCGCGCAGUCACGGAUAUGACAGCUUGGCUAAACAACCUCGAAUUUACAUAUCCACGCUCGUGCUUCGAACCUUGCUUCUGAGCCGUGUUGAUAAGAUAAGUUCUCAGGUCGGUGUGCGGUGUUUUCGUUCCCUUUAAUGGUAGAAUUAUAACUUGAAAACAUAUACUUAGGGUGAAAUAUCGCAAGUUACACACUGCAUUGACGGCAGAGAAGUUUGUCAUUAAUCAGCCGGUGAGGUUGCACUAGUGCGCCGGCAGCUGAAGGGAAACUGACUUAAGUGAAAAGACGGCCGUAAACCAAAGAAAAGCCACAAUUUUUGUCAACUAAGAAUCCAAGAGAUGGCAAUGUCUGUUUUAAACACUAUCAACCACACAAACUCACAAGGAACAGACGGAACGUACUUCGAUCAAAGCCAAAACUCAAGCAUUCAACAGCCCACUACUGCUAUCUCAACGAAUGUAAAGGUUGGCAUGACGUUAGCAUAUGCAGUCAUUUUCAUCGUUGCUUUGUCGGGC